UACGGAGGGUGCAAGCGUUAAUCGGAAUUACUGGGCGUAAAGCGUGCGCAGGCGGUUUGCUAAGCGAGAUGUGAAAUCCCCGGGCUUAACCUGGGAACUGCGUUUCUAACUGGCAGGCUUGAGUGUGGCAGAGGGGGGUGGAAUUCCACGUGUAGCAGUGAAAUGCGUAGAGAUGUGGAGGAACACCGAUGGCGAAGGCAGCCCCCUGGGCUAACACUGACGCUCAUGCACGAAAGCGUGGGGAGCAAACAGG
rnacentral:rRNA from 1 species